rnacentral:snRNA from 1 species
GACAGCAGGACGGUGGUCAU